GCCAGUGUGGCGAAAUGGUUUGGGCAUUGGACUACAACUCUUGUGGUCAGGGUUCGAAUCCAAGCUCAGCCA